AGUAGGAAUCUUUUGUUGCCGGAAAUUCCCACAGCAAAAGUCAGAUGGAGCAUACACACGGUCGGAAUUUACAUAUGCGGCAUUACUCUGAUGAGCACUUCAACAGAUCAGAUACCAAUCUUUGGGCAGUGAGGGAAUUUAAUCCCUGUUCCUCAGACAGAUGAUGUGCUGUUGAAGAUGAGAACAAAUAGUCAAAUGAUGUUAAAGUGUAUGUGUAGUGGCUUACCUGUGCUGCUUGUGAUGAUAUAGGAGGAAUGCGGUGCCUUGUCUGCUUCAACAACUUAUAUAGUUUGGUAUCAUUAGGUCCUAUAGCAGUAGUUGGAGCUGUGUCAUCCUGAACAAUAUCCAUUCCUGUUGUUAGUGUGCUUUCUUGGGUCUUUCUAGGUUUAAGAUAUUAAAAAUGUAUAAAAAAAAAAACAUGCAUGCUAAAGAAUAUAGUUUGCAUUGAUGAAGACAUUGCAGAGAUACUGGAUGGAUUGCAUGCCUAGCUGAGAGAGCAGAAGUGGCAGAAAAUAAUCUAAAAUACCGUUAUUGAUCAUUCUAUGUUUUUUAUGCAACUGGGCUUCCGACAACCUCUUGUGCAGCUGGUCCUUUGUUCACUCCACAAUUCUUCUCAAGCACAUGGACAACCUUCUCCGUGAUGUCUUUUUCUUGUAUUAGGCCUGGGGUGGUUUUUGUGCCUCCCAUCAUAAUAUUUUUUUUUUUUUUCCAGAAUCUUCACCAUAGUUUUCAUCUCAUCCAGGGGCAUAGGUGUUGCCUUUUUUUUUUUUUUUUUUUUUAAACCUUUGCAGGCUAAAUUGUUCGGGCUCCUUUUCUUCAGCCAUUGUUCUUCUGCUAAAGAUGGUGCAGAAUUAAGAGGGGUGGAGCUUGUAAACUCCCAUAGAGCACCAUGGUACACUCCGACCCGGCACACAGAACAUUGUCAUGUACAAGAACACUGACCAAUCCACAGAAGAUUCGUAACAACUGAAGGUAAGCAGACCAGUACAAUAGUUCUAGGGUAUUGUUUGGUGUAGUUUGGCAACUGAACAAUGAUACAGAUAUUACAAUAUGAUAAUAUAUAUAAAUUAGUAUAUCACUAUAAAUGUGACCAUGUCUAUUAAAAUAGACCAAUUUAAUAAACAAAGUGACUAAAAAAAACAUGUGUGAAUAUGCCAAUAUCACAUAUACAUCUCAGAAAAUGCGUCUGCCAAAUACACAAAAAAGAAUGGUGUAUAAAUUUCCAACUGUGAAGAAAGAAAAAGUGAAGGAAUAAAGUCCCAAAAUAGCAAAAUGGAUAUAAUGCAUAUAAACGGAUAACCCCUAAAUGUUGAAAGGGUUAAACCUAAGAUAGGUCAGUCCUUGUAGAGAUGAUUCCAAAAUGGUGCAAAAGGAGGAACACCUGUGAUAAGAAAACCUUCAUCCACCACUAAGGCACCCAAGAGGUAGUAAUGUUGCCUCCUUACCCCAAAGCUAUGACCGCUGUCACGGCGGUCUCUCCAAACACAGGGAUUUAUGGUCUCCCAAUAGACCCAAAGCUGGUGACCCGAUAACAAAAAUAUGAAUGGUAUUUGAACGGAAUCCCUCUCUCGCUGUGCCAGGUUGCUGCUGAAGGAGUGACAACUCACUAGUUGGUUAAUGUGGGAGUGACAGUUGCUCGUGUGACAUGGUCCUGCCGAUUUCAAGCGCUGUCUGAGCUCCCUAGAGUCAGUCACAGCAGCUGCGGGAUUUAUUAACAAAUCCCUGUGUUUUAUUAACACAUUAAUUCCUUUAAUUAGGAUUUUGAUCACUUAUUAGCACUGUACCCAUCUUUACCAUAUAUUCCAGUUUUGUUUUAAACAUUUUUGGUCCUGGCGGCUUUACCCGUUUUUAAUUUUGGUAUUCAAACAUUUUUUCUUUGUUAUUAUCUAGCGCAUUGUUUUUUUUUUUUUUGUUUUUUUGUUUUUUUUAACUGGACAGUGAAGCAUUGUUUGUUAUUACAGGAGCAAUGGUGGGCAAAUUUACCUCAUAUUUCCUGCCACAAUUCCUUGAAAUGUACCGAGACCUUCCAUGUCUAUGGAAAGUACGCUCCAAAGACUAUUCCGACAGUCAAAAAUGUAAUGAAGCGUAUACUAAAUUAGCGGAACUAUGCACUGUUGUGUAUUCCAAAGCAGAUAUAUCCUAUGUGACCAAAAAUUUUUUAAAUCUGCGUACCAUCUUCAAAAAAAUUGAACAAUAUUAAUGAAUCCAAAAGAUCUGGUGCAGGUGCAGAUCAAGUAUACGUGCCACCUCUGUGGUAUUUUGAGAGUCUGUUUUCUGACUGACCAGGAGGAAGCUUGACCCUCUGUGUCAAUCUUAGACAGUAUCAGUGAAAAUAUUUCGGGAGAUGAAGAAGAUGGAACAUUUGAGGAAAUGGCAGACAGUCAGGAUCUAUUUAGCAAUGAAACACAAACUCACAUCACCACCAGUACGCAGAAAAGACAAGGCAAGAGUCUACAGGCAACUUUCUACUACAAGCAUCUGCAGCGUUAAAUCAGAAGAGGGAUGAAUGUGAUGACCUGGGUGCAUUUACUGCCAAGAAAAUAAGCUGGAUGUCAGAAGACCAAAAACAAUUACUGGAACCAUUACUCAUUCAGCUUCUUAAUAAAGGGUUAAGAGGGGCGCUGACCACAAAUACGCACUUGGCUGAGCACAAAACCACACACACCCAAUCAUCGCAACAACCUCAACAAAUGCAUCGGUGGCACGUACCAUUCACACAGCAGGAUUGUCCACAAAGCAACUGAGGACAUGAUUAUCAGUAAAAAUCUUUGUGAAUCGCAUACAUUUGGUUUAAAAGAUAUUAUGUUUGUCAGUUUGACAUGUUAUGAACUAGUUUGAAUUUACUCCUAUGUUUAGAGCUUCAAAAUUCUAAGUUUAACGAAGAUAGCUGUACAGAGUUUGAGAGUUAAAAAUAAAAGCACUGUGUCAUUACCUUUUUAA